GGGCGGUUAGCGCAGUGGUAGCGCGUUGGUCUUCGAAUCCAAAGGCCGUGGGUUCAACCCCCACACUGCUCG